AUGGCACCGCCGCCUCGCCUCCUCCCUCUCCUCCUCGGUCGCCUCCUCGUCUCCGGCGACCUCCUCCGCAACACCGCCCACCUCCGCCGCAUCGUGCCCCUCCUCCCUUCCCACCCCCACCUCGCCGCCUCCCUCUCCAGCCUCUACUUCCCGCUCUUCCCCUCCUCAUGCAUCUUCCUCCACAACCUGCUCAUCCGAGCCUCCGCAACCUCCCCGUCUCCUCGCAUCGCCUUCGCCGCCUUCUCCUCCAUUCUCCGCUCUGGCGAUGCUCCCGACCGAUUCACCUUCCCUUCCCUCCUCAAGUCGGCGUCCAGGCUCGCCUCUUUCCCGCGCACGGGCGCGCAGGUGCACGCGCAGGCCGUCCGGCGCGGCUUCUUGAUCGACGUCUUUGUCGUCAAUGCGCUCCUCGCGAUGUACGCCGCCUUCCGGGACACGGCAUCCAUGCGGGAGGUGUUCGAUUCGUGCGCAGGGGUCACCGACGUGGUGUCUUGGAACACGGUGCUCGGUGGCUAUGUGAAGUGCGGGGACAUCAGGAACGCCCAGAUGGUGUUCGAGGAAAUGCCACAGAGGAAUGGGGUGUCCUGGAGCGCGAUGGUUGGGGCAUACGCCGGUUCUGGCGAGUUGGAUGUGGCCAGGGAAAUGUUCGAUGAGAUGCCGGCCAUUGGGAGGAACAUUGUGACAUGGAACUCGAUGAUAACAGGAUUCGCGCGGCAUGGGCUACUGCCACUGGCUAGGAAGAUGUUCGAUGAGAUGCCGGUACGGAAUCUGGUAUCGUGGAACACAAUGAUCCGGGGGUAUGCAGUGAACGGUGAGAUGGAUGGUGCACGGAAGCUGUUUGAUGUGAUGCCGGAGAAAGACGUGGUUUCCUGGACGUGCAUGAUUUCUGGGUAUGCACAGGCUGGACGCUACGCAGAAACCCUUGAGCUGUUUAGGGAAAUGCAGAGCGAGAGCAGUGCCCGUCCUAAUGAGGUGACCAUGGUGAGCGUGCUUUCAGCAUGUGCACAUUUAACAGCUCUGGAAGAAGGGAGGUGGGCUCACACUUACAUUGACAAGCACAAGAUGGUGCUCGACAAUGAGUUCAAUCUCGGUGCUGCCCUCAUUGACAUGUAUGCCAAGUGUGGGAAAACCGACAUGGCUGUCAAAAUCUUCUACUCGUUGGACCAGAAGAAUGUCUCCGCCUGGAAUGCACUCAUCACUGGGUUGGCAGUGAAUGGUGAUGUUCAGGAUUGCAUCGGUGUGUUUGAGCAGAUGAAGAGGUCAGGAGAGAAACCGAAUGACAUAACGUUCGUUGGUGUGCUGACUGCUUGUGCCCACAGCGGGCUGGUGGAUGAGGGUCGACGGUGCUUUCAGAGCAUGUCAUCUACUUGCAGAGUGCAGCCAGAGGCAAAGCAUUAUGGCUGCAUGGUUGACAUGUUAGGCCGAGCAGGGCUUCUUGAAGAGGCAGAGGAGCUGAUAAGGACCAUGUCGAUGGCCCCAGAUGUCAUGGUUUUGGGAGCACUACUAGGUGCCUGUCGAAUGCACAAGAGAUUUGAUGUGGCUGAAAGAGUCCAGAGUGAAAUUAUUGGUCUCAACACACGGCAGGCUGGCUGCCAUGUCUUGAUAUCAGACGUUUAUGCUGCUGCUGGCAAAUGGGGAGAGGCUUUAGAUGCAAGGCGUGUUCUUCAGAAGUGCACAAUCAGGAAAUUGCCAGGAUCAUCCAGCUCGAUGCGAUAG
rnacentral:rRNA from 1 species